rnacentral:rRNA from 1 species
AAGCGUGCGCAGGCGGUUAUGUAAGACAGAUGUGAAAUCCCCCGGGCUCAACCUGGGAACUGCAUUAGUGACUGCAUAGCUGGAGUACGGCAGAGGGGGAUGGAAUUCCGCGUGUAGCAGUGAAAUGCGUAGAUAUGCGGAGGAACACCGAUGGCGAAGGCAAUCCCCUGGGCCUGUACUGACGCUCAUGCACGAAAGCGUGGGGAGCAAACAGGAUUAGAUACCCCAGU